UACGGAGCACUAAUAAAAUGGCACGUGCCGUGCUAACACACAAACGGUACUCCACUACACUCUCCCUACCUAAACUCAUAAGUGAAACCUCGUUAACGGGUUGGCAGAAAUCAAAAAUAUAGACGCCAAAAUGUAUUUAAAGUAAUACUCCACUUAUUUAUGGAAUUUAUAAAACAAGUUCUCAUUUGAAAAAACCAAAUUUUGUUUCGCCACAGGAUACUCCUUAAGUAUUGUGAAAAAUCUAAAUAUUCGAAAAUAUCGGCUUUAACUAUCAGCGCUUAACAAUUCGAAAAAUCACAGAAUUUGAAUAAAUACAACAUUUAACCAAACAAAUGAGGUGAGUACGCUUAGUGAAUUAUCCUGUGUACAUCAAUUUCUUAUGUAGACAGCAUACAGCACCGUCGACAAAUGGUAUUAUAAAAUGAAUUCAGACACGGAUAGCAUUCCGAAUACAGUAUUUUUACAUG